GGCCCAAUGUUGUGGAGGAGGAAAGCGAAAAAGCCCAUAUGAAUAUUUAGUGUCUUGGGUUUCUCAGUCCAACUUUUUGCAGCAAACACUCGACACAUUGAAGGUUAGGUCUGAGCAUCUGCCAUAGAUCGGCAGUUACAAUACAUUUUCAGUCUUUCUUGUAAAACACAUCCAACUACUAUUUAUUAAUUACAGCAGUAAUACCUCCUCUCUCUAUCUCUAUUUUGAGUAUCUUUCCACCUUCUCAAUGCUAAGCCUCUUUCUUUUCCAACAUGAUCCCUCCUCUUCUUCUCUGUCAAUCAUGUCUGUAAUGCCAUUGAUGGUUAGGUCAGUGUUGAGGAUGGUGAGGGCACUGGUGGGUCAACCAGCUUCUACUUUCACAACCUUGCUUUACUACAGUGAUCUCCUCCCUAGAAAUCUUAACUUAGAGCGUUUGGUUCGACAUGAACAUUUGGACCCCGAUAACUAUUUGUUCCAUUUCCUCAUCAAUGUCCUCAGAUGUUUCUGAGUAUGAAAUGGAAAUCUGCUAUUUGUGGAAAAUUUAAGAAGAAAGCAGGCUAGCUCUUACGGUUAAGGUAAUAUUUAGUAUAUAUAUACAUAUUCAGCUAGAUUGUAUGCAUACGUUAUUUGUGUCAGUGACUCACUGAAAUCUACCUAGUCCAGUAAUCAUAAACUCUUGGGUUUGUAAGUUAAAUAACUAAACUGGUUCUGUACAUCUAUAUUCUGACUUUCUGAGAUGCGAAAAUAGGAGCAUCAUCCAUUCAUUUUGCUUU